UUGAUAAUUUGUCUUAGAAAACAAAGAAUGAUUCUAAAAUUAAAAUUGUGGAGGAAGUAUAAAAGUCAGAAUCGAACACUUGAUUGGCGUGCGCUGAUUGGCUAAAUGCAAAUGACCGUGCUAAUUGUUGACAGCUGACAUCCCUUUGGUGCUAGGGACGCCGUGCAAAUCACGUCGCUUUCACUCUUGAGUUCUAGCACAGGGAAGACAUAUUCUCGUCUGAAAACUCCACAAAACCAACAAAAAAAUAGAAAAAUGGACCCAAACCCGAAAUCAGUCGCCGAUUUGAUCCAGUUUGUCGAAGGGACUUUACAGAACAUGCAAGACAAGUUCCAAACGGCAGAAGACUCCAUCGUCAAGAGAAUUAACGAUACAGGGAAACGUCUUGAUGACAUAGAAAAAAGCCUGACAGAUCUCAUGGAUCACUCAGGCAUCGGAGAGCCGUACGAAGAGGACUUGGAGUCCGAAGACGACAAAGGAAGAUGAGUCUAUCUCGUGGUAUUUAACCGUUGGCAGAGUAAACAGGAUGACGGACAUGAGCGUAUUUGAACUCGUAACUUGAGUUCUGUGAGGAGCGAAGUUGGGAGUCUUACAUGCAUGCGCCAGGUUCUGAACUCAAGAGUGUAUUUUAUAGCUUCGUUUUUAAGUUAUAUUUUGUCAUUUUUAGUUUGUUUUAGACAGAUUAGUUUGAAUUCUAUGAGUGUGAUUAUCUAUGUAAUAUAUUGUGCCUUUUUUGUAAAAGUUUUAAAAAGAUUAUUUCACAUUUGUUUUGUGCAGUAGAGUUACCAUUAGUCUUAUCUUUCAGAAUGUUUAUGCCUUUGUGCGUCUUAUCUUUAUUCUUCUAUCUAUUUUCACAUUGCAACAAAGGUGAACGAAUCUUAUUAUGAAGCAGAUGUAAAUAAUAAUAUAUGUAUACAAAUUUUACUUCUUAUUAAAAAAAAAAACUUUGUGAUA